GGCUCUGCCACCUCCCGGCUGUGGAUGAAGUCUUACCUUUUUAAAACAUCCAUCUCCUUCUCUGUAAAAUAAGGGUACAAAUAAAACUUCAUAACAUUGCUGUGAGGUUUUACAAAAUGCAUAUAUAGUCCUAGAUUAGAUUAAGCAAAAAGUAAAUCAUAGAUGAAAUAAAAAUUAUUUAAAAGUUCUUUUCUCUUUCCUCUUUUCUCUCAGAUCUUUAUCUUGUAUCUUAAUCCGGUAUUUAGAAAACUAAGGAAUAUUUCAUUUUGACUUCUUUAGGAAGAAAAGAAAAAAGAAUUUGGGGGCCAAAAUAAUUAUCUUCAAAUAUUUGAAAGACUGAAAAGCAAUAAACAAAUAAAUAAAUAAACAAGUAAAUAACUGAUAAUGAAUAGUUUUCUGUAUCAAUAAAUAUGGAAUAGAAACCUUUCAAGAUAUAUGAGUGAUCAGAAAAGGACAAAAAAGAUAUGGAGCAGAGUGAGGAGCAAGAUCUGAUGUAACGAAAUGUGGCUUGCUCAGCAUAUCAUCCCAGUCUACAUGCCUUCUGGAUAGACUACAAGAAAUACCUAUUAAUGGACAAAAGACAGGCUGAGGGAGGAAAUGAAGACUAGGCCUGGGAAAAUUUAGGUGACAAUUUUUUAAGUGGGAGUGAGUAGGUUAGGAUAUAAAGAAAGGAUAAGAUAAUUGAUUCAAAAUCUUCUCUAUGACAGGAAUAUGAGAAUUCUUAUAAUAAAAAUUGAUUCCUAUGAGUAACUUUGUCUAGAUACAUUCCAGACAGAAAUAGCACAUUAAAAAAUUAAUCUAGCUUUGGUAAGUAUUUGAAGCAAGCAGUUGGCUGUAGAGAUAUUUGGGCUGCUAAAAUUUCUAUAUAGAAAAUUAAUUCCAUAAGAUGGUGUUUGUGAGUGGGAGGAAAAUGAAAGUCAGUGGAAAGUGACAAUAUUUCAAAAAUAUAAUUCGAUUUCCAG
rnacentral:lncRNA from 1 species